UCCUAUUUAUCGUCACCACAACAGUCCAAUCCCACCACGGCUCUACCAACUUUUGCUAAAACAGCUGGAACUGAAAGGACCUGGCGGUGCUUCGGUCCCUCUCUAUGAGCCUGUUCUGCCAUCGAAAAACCCCCAUCUUUGCCACCACCUCUUGUUUACCCUAUUUACGGCCAUCUACAGCAAACAGGA
rnacentral:rRNA from 1 species